AAUUCAUUGUUAGGAUAUUUUCUAAGCGAAGACUAAAAACGUUCCCAAGCUUCAUAGAAUGUUUCCUCUUGACCUUAUCUAAAAGUAGAGAAGUCUGAUUUUGAACU